rnacentral:rRNA from 1 species
GACGAACGCUGGCGGCGUGCCUAAUACAUGCAAGUCGAGCGAGUCUGCCUUGAAGAUCGGAGUGCUUGCACUCUGUGAAACAAGAUACAGGCUAGCGGCGGACGGGUGAGUAACACGUGGGUAACCUGCCCAAGAGAUCGGGAUAACACCUGGAAACAGAUGCUAAUACCGGAUAACAACAGAUGAUGCCUAUCAACUGUUUAAAAGAUGGUUCUGCUAUCACUCUUGGAUGGACCUGCGGUGCAUUAGCUAGUUGGUAGGGUAACGGCCUACCAAGGCGAUGAUGCAUAGACGAGUUGAGAGACUGAUCGGCCACAUUGGGACUGAGACACGGCCCAAACUCCUACGGGAGGCAGCAGUAGGGAAUCUUCCACAAUGGACGCAAGUCUGAUGGAGCAACGCCGCGUGAGUGAAGAAGGGGUUCGGCUCGUAAAGCUCUGUUGUUGGUGAAGAAGGACAGGGGUAGUAACUGACCUUUGUUUGACGGUAAUCAAUUAGAAAGUCACGGCUAACUACGUG